AGAACGGUCGCCGCGUCGCCUCAGCACGGACCUCCAGGGAGCUCCUCAGCAAGAUCCUGCCAGGGCGCCCCUCAGCGCGAUUCUGCCGGGGUGCCUCUCAGCGUGGUCCUCCCCGGGGCUCCUCAGCACGAUUCUCCCGGUGCGCCCCUCAGCGCGGUCCUCCUCGGUGCGUCAGUCAUCGUGGUUCUCCCCGGCGCGCCCCUCGGCGCGGUUCUCCUCGGGGCUCCUCAGCGCGGCGCUCUUCUGGGGGCUCCUCGGCGCAGUUCUCCCCGGGGACUCCUCGGCGCCGUUCUCCUCGGGGCACCCGGGGCUUUUCGGCGCGGUUCUCCCCGGGGGUUCUUCGGCGCGGUUGUCCCCGGGGGUUCUUCGGCGCGGUUCUCUCCGGGGGCCUCUCGCCGCGGUUCUGUUCUCCCCGGGGGCUCCUCAGCAUGGUUCUCCUCCGCGCGGUCCUCCCUGGGCCUCCUCAGCGCGGCACUCUCCUGGGGGCUCCUCAGCGCGGCACUCUCCCCGGGGGCUCCUCAGCGCGGCACUCUCCCGGCGGCUCCUCAGUGCGGUUCUCCCAGACUCUCCUCAGCGCGGCCCUCCCCAUCUCUCUGGGAGGGUUUGAACACGGUCAGCACGGACCUGGGCGGACGGCGCGGGACGGGUGAUCACUGGCGUUGCUGAGCACUAUUCACAACAGCAAAGAUAUGGACUCAGGAACCUAAGUGUACAUCAGUGGAUAAAUGGAAAAAGAAAAUGAGGUAAAUAUAUACAAUGGAAUACUAAUUGACCAAAGAAGAAUGAAAUCAUGUCCUUUGCAGCAACAUGAAUGGAGCUGGAGGUCAUUAUUUUAAGCCAGGCACAGAAAGAUAAUUAUCUUAUGUUAUUAUCAUAUGUGGGAGCUAUAAAAGUUGAUCUCAUGGAGGUAGAGAGUAGAAGGAUAGAUACCAAAGGCUGUGAAAGGUAUGUCUGGAGGGUGAAGAGAGGUUGGUUAGUGGGUAAAAAUACACAGCUAGUUAGAAUAAAUAAUUUAUAAUGUUUGAUAAGAGUUGGUUGACUAUAUUUAACAAUAUAAUGUAUAUUUCAAAAUAAAAAAGAGGACUUGAAAUGUUCCUAACUAUAGAGAUGAUAAAUUGAGGGUGAUGGAUACCCUGACUUGAUCAUUACACAUUCGAUGCAUGUAACAAUAGCACAUGUACCCCAUAAGUAUUAUGUAUCGGUCAAAAAAAAAAAAAAAAG
rnacentral:lncRNA from 1 species